ensembl:lncRNA SEPTIN7P11 septin 7 pseudogene 11
GAACUCGCGGAGGGGCUGCUGGGGCUUCCAGGAGGGCGCAUGUGCGGAUGACUGGCCGCAGGCGGCCGGGCGGGCUGUAACCCGCCGCUGAACUAGCGCUUCUGUGUCCAGAGGCUUCGGCCUGGCCGCCGUCGCCUGUAAGCUACGAGGAGGAGAUUUACGACUUGGCCGGGCGCAGCAAAGGCCAGACUCUGCGCGAACAGGCGCUGCGCACCAACCGGCAGGCACCUGGCGGGCACCAUCGCACGGUGGCGCAGAAGCCCCUCAAUGGCCAGCGCCAGCUGCAGCCGCGGCCGCGCAGUCGUCCCACCUGAGCUUGGGCGAAUGUGGAUUGGGAAAGUCGACAUUAAUCAACUCAUUAUUCCUCAUAGAUUUGUAUUCUCCAGAGUAUCCAGGUCCUUCUCACAGAAUUAAAAAGACUGUACAGCUGGCAGCCUGUUAUCGAUUACAUUGAUAGUAAAUUUGAGGACUACCUAAAUGCAGAAUCAUGCGUGAACAGACAUCAGAUGCCUGAUAACAGGGUGCAGUGUUGUUCAUACUUCAUUGCUCCUUCAGGACAUGGACUUAAACCAUUGGAUAUUGAGUUUAUGAAGCGUUUGCAUGAAAAAGUGAGUAUCACCCCACUUAUUGCCAAAGCAGACACACUCACACCAGAGGAAUGCCAACAGUUUAAAAAACAGGUAACUUUUCCGGUCACACACAACAGACUGAUUUUCCUGUGGAAGACCUCACAGGAGUUCUCUUGAACCAGGAGACUAUUUUGAGCUGAAAUACCUGGAGCCCUCUCAAGCUAUUUGGGCCUUUCAAUUUGAAACCCAGGUUUGGAUGAUUCUAAGCUCUAUGGCAGAGACUGUAAUCAUUUUCUCUUCACCCUCAGGUUGGGGACUCACCCUCAGGGUUGGGAGUGACUGCUGUCUCUCCAGCCCCCACCAAUUACACCAUGUUCUGGUUGUUAAAAUCCAGUGUAUGCAUGAAAUGUAAUAAAAGUAUCUUCGCAGCACUAAGUAGAGA